GCGAGCGUGCUACCGCUUGAGCCACAUCCUCAGCCCCACUAAACAAGUUUUAAUCUGAUAUAGUUUUAAGUAGUAUAAUUUUUUCAGAUCAAGAUAGAUAAGUGAAUGGAAAAGCUACUAUGUUUGGGGCUGGGGAUGUGGCUCAAGAGGUAGCGUGCUCGC
rnacentral:miRNA from 1 species